GGAAAGUUGCAAAGCACUUUGAAGAGAGAGUUAAACAGGACGUGAAACCGAUGAGGUGGAAACGGACAGAGUCGGCGUAUCUAGCCUGUAUUCAACUGGAGACCCAAGCACAUUGGGUAGGCCUUUUCCAGAUUGGACAGGCAGAUCCAACUGUUUGGGAGUGUACAGUGCAUUUGCAAGUGGAGUGCGCUGAGGUGGUCGGGUUAGCUGCGUGAUCUCGGGUUUGAGGCCAGCCCCUCGGGGUAUGGUACCCGGCUCGGGGGAGUGCUGUUUAGCCUCUUCAACUUGUAUGGAAAUGGUAUCGGGUCCGGCUGGUAUCCAGCUAACAACUGGUGGCGGUCGCAUGCGACACGUACUAGUGGUUGGUUGGGUCUCGGUCUGGCUCCCAUGUUUUCCAAUCCUCGGUGUAAAAACCGGUCAUCUGUCCGACCCGUCUUGAAACACGGACCAAGGAGUUUAGCGUGUGCGCGAGUCAUUGGGUGUUGGAAACCCAAAGGCGCAAUGAAAGUGAAGGUCUCUCUUGUGGAGCUGAUGUGUGACCCGGGUCACCGAGGUGGCCCGGAGCAACAUGGUCCCGUCCUGAUCGCUUGCGAUGGGGCGGAGACAGAGCGUACGCGCUGAGACCCGAAAGAUGGUGAACUAUUCCUGAGCAGGACGAAGCCAGAGGAAACUCUGGUGGAAGUCCGAAG
rnacentral:rRNA from 1 species